rnacentral:rRNA from 1 species
AGAGUUGAUCAUGGCUCAGAUGAACGCUGGCGGCGUGCUUAACACAUGCAAGUCGAACGAAGCACCAUGGAACGCGUCUCGGACAAGUGAAUUGGUGACUUAGUGGCGGACGGGUGAGUAACGCGUGGGUAACCUGCCUCACACAGGGGGAUAACAGUUAGAAAUGACUGCUAAAACCGCAUAACAUGGCGAGACCGCAUGACCUUGCCAUCAAAUAUUUAUAGGUGUGAGAUGGGCCCGCGUCUGAUUAGCUAGUUGGUAGGGUAAUGGCCUACCAAGGCGACGAUCAGUAGCCGGCUUGAGAGAGUGAACGGCCACAUUGGGACUGAGACACGGCCCAAACUCCUACGGGAGGCAGCAGUGGGGGAUAUUGGACAAUGGGGGAAACCCUGAUCCAGCGACGCCGCGUGAGUGAAGAAGUAUUUCGGUAUGUAAAGCUCUAUCAGCAGGGAAGAAAAAUAACMAAAUUGACUGUACCUGACUAAGAAGCCCCGGCUAACUACGUGCCAGCAGCCGCGGUAAUACGUAGGGGGCAAGCGUUAUCCGGAUUUACUGGGUGUAAAGGGAGCGUAGGCGGCGAAGCAAGUCAGAUGUGAAAGCCCGGGGCUCAACCCCGGGACUGCAUUUGAAACUGUUUUGCUAGAGUAUCGGAGAGGUAAGUGGAAUUCCUAGUGUAGCGGUGAAAUGCGUAGAUAUUAGGAGGAACACCAGUGGCGAAGGCGGCUUACUGGACGAUAACUGACGCUGAGGCUCGAAAGCGUGGGGAGCUUCAGAUUAGAUACCCUGGUAGUCCACGCCGUAAAGAGCCUCCUGUCGGGGCACAAAAGUGCUUCGGCMGCAGCUAACGCAAKAAGUAUUCCACC